UCGAUCGUUGGGUCUCGACCGCGACACCUUUGGGGGCCAUAUUUGGUAGGCUUUUGGGUUGACGAAGUUAUGGAGUUGCGGAGUUGAGGCGUUCCGUCAGGUAGGAAUCGCUGUCAAGUCAACGGAGGCAAUUCCCUAGCAAUGGCCCGUGCCAUGACAUGGAAAUAGGUGCCGCAUGCGGGGUUGGAAAACGUACCCCUCGGUGAGCACCUUUGUACCCCCGGGGUGCCAAAGGAGUGGAUGCCUCGUAAGGGCAUUAGAGGAGGAGUGG
rnacentral:lncRNA from 1 species